rnacentral:rRNA from 1 species
AUACGGAGGGUGCAAGCGUUAUUCGGAAUCACUGGGCGUAAAGGACGCGUAGGCGGGUUGGCAAGUCAGAUGUGAAAUCCUACAGCUUAACUGUAGAACUGCAUUUGAAACUGCUAACCUUGAGUAUGGGAGGGGGAGAUGGAAUUAGUGGUGUAGGGGUAAAAUCCGUAGAUAUCACUAGGAAUACCGAAAGCCAAGGCGAUCUCCUGGAACAUAACUGACGCUAAGGCGUGAAAGCGUGGGGAGCAAACAGGAUUAGAAACCCUAGUAGUCC